UACGGGGGGGGCAAGCGUUGUUCGGAAUUACGGGGCGUAAAGGGCGCGUAGGCGGCCUGCUAAGUCGGACGUGAAAUCCCCCGGCUCAACCGGGGAACUGCGUCCGAUACUGGUGGGCUCGAAUCCGGGAGAGGGAUGUGGAAUUCCAGGUGUAGCGGUGAAAUGCGUAGAUAUCUGGAGGAACACCGGUGGCGAAGGCGGCAUCCUGGACCGGUAUUGACGCUGAGGCGCGAAAGCCAGGGGAGCAAACGGG
rnacentral:rRNA from 1 species